rnacentral:rRNA from 1 species
GUAGGUGGCAAGCGUUGUCCGGAAUUAUUGGGCGUAAAGCGCGCGCAGGCGGUUCUUUAAGUCUGAUGUGAAAGCCCACGGCUCAACCGUGGAGGGUCAUUGGAAACUGGAGAACUUGAGUACAGAAGAGGAGAGCGGAAUUCCACGUGUAGCGGUGAAAUGCGUAGAGAUGUGGAGGAACACCAGUGGCGAAGGCGGCUUUCUGGUCUGUAACUGACGCUGAGGCGCGAAAGCGUGGGGGGAGCAAACAGGAUUAGAUACCCUGGUAGUCCACGCCGUAAACGAUGAGUGCUAAGUGUUAGGGGGUUUCCGCCCCUUAGUGCUGCAGCUAACGCAUUAAGCACUCCGCCCUGGGAGUACGGCCGCAAGGCUG